UCCCUGGAGGACUAGUGGUUAGGCCACAGCGCUCUCACGACUGCGGCACGGGUUCGACUCGUGCCCAGGGAU
rnacentral:tRNA from 1 species